rnacentral:rRNA from 1 species
AUUGAACGCUGGCGGCAUGCCUUACACAUGCAAGUCGAACGGCAUCGCGGGAAAGCUUGCUUUCCUGGCGGCGAGUGGCGAACGGGUGAGUAACACAUCUGAACGUACUGGCUAGUGGGGGAUAACCCGUCGAAAGACGGGCUAAUACCGCAUACGCUCUUAGGAGGAAAGCAGGGGACCUUUGGGCCUUGCGCUAGCCGAGCGGCCGAUGUCCGAUUAGCUAGUUGGUGGGGUAAAGGCCUACCAAGGCGACGAUCGGUAGCGGGUCUGAGAGGACGAUCCGCCACACUGGGACUGAGACACGGCCCAGACUCCUACGGGAGGCAGCAGUGGGGAAUCUUGGACAAUGGGCGCAACCCUGAUCCAGCAAUGCCGCGUGAGUGAAGAAGGCCUUCGGGUUGUAAAGCCCUUUCGGCAGGGAAGAAAAAGGGGGGGCGAAUAACCCUGCUGGAUGACGGUACCUGCAGAAGAAGCACCGGCUAACUACGUG